AAGCUGUUAACCACAGCAUUUGAAGCGAGUCUUGGGUGCGUUGCAGUAAUGUAACGUACUAAGCGUAGACAGCAAGGUAGUAGGGAUAGCUAUUGAGCACCGAAAUCCCAAGUAUUUCCAGAGUGCCGACUCUGUGGUCUGAGGGGAAGGCAAUAUGUGGGUUUAUCGAUACGGUGAGAUUUCACACAGCUCUGCGGUGUCGGAA
rnacentral:ncRNA from 1 species